rnacentral:rRNA from 1 species
GACGAACGCUGGCGGCGUGCCUAAUACAUGCAAGUAGAACGCUGAAGGAAGGAGCUUGCUCUUUCUGGAUGAGUUGCGAACGGGUGAGUAACGCGUAGGUAACCUGCCUGGUAGCGGGGGAUAACUAUUGGAAACGAUAGCUAAUACCGCAUAAAAUUGAUUAUUGCAUGAUAGUCAAUUAAAAGGUGCAACUGCACCACUACCAGAUGGACCUGCGUUGUAUUAGCUAGUUGGUGGGGUAACGGCUCACCAAGGCGACGAUACAUAGCCGACCUGAGAGGGUGAUCGGCCACACUGGGACUGAGACACGGCCCAGACUCCUACGGGAGGCAGCAGUAGGGAAUCUUCGGCAAUGGACGGAAGUCUGACCGAGCAACGCCGCGUGAGUGAAGAAGGUUUUCGGAUCGUAAAGCUCUGUUGUAAGAGAAGAACGAGUGUGAGAGUGGAAAGUUCACACUGUGACGGUAUCUUACCGGAAAGGGACGGCUAACUACGUG